UAUUUUAAAUUUACUUCUUUCUUAAGAGGGGGGGGGGGAGAGAGUGCUGCCCUGGUGCAAAUAGGCAGCGACGCCUCUCUUAUUAUUUCCACCAUCCUCACAGCGUUGCUAUUAUUUUCUUUCUGAAAUGGGACUUCGUUUAUCCCAGAAAGUCAGAGGUGGAAAGCAUAAAGGCGGCCGCCCUGCGGAGUUGAAAGGGACCUCUUGUAAUUCGAUUUGCCCAACGCCUCCUAAUUUCACGACGUCUAGAAGAGGGAAUCGGGCUUGCGCCUUGGGCCCGCGUUCCUUCGGCGCGCUGGUUCCCCAACCCCGGGAAAAACCACUGCCAAGGACCCACUUUAAUGGGAAGACUCCAUUCACCCCACUCUACCCCCACCGAUCUACUCUGAGCCCCCACCCGCCCUCCGGACCCCGAGCACGUCGCUAGCCAUUAGGCUGCCUGCGGUAAUUACCGUCCGGGUAAGGUUCACUGCAACAGGCAGACGGCGAUUCCUGCCUUCAGAUUUUUAUUUUUAUUUUUUUAUUCCCCCCCCUUUUUUUGCAGGAGGGGUGUUGGGAACAUUUAUUAAACCCAGAUGAUCCUCGGGGUUUGGGGGCCAUAAGGAAACGAUUUACAAUUAAGCCAAUUGGAACCGAAAUGCAGUCUUUUUCAAAAUUUUCUUGCAGGUGUAAAUAAUGUUUCCUUCAAGGGACGGGGCCGUUCAGGUGCCCCUUUGCUUUGAAUGUCCCUCCUCUUUCUCCCUCAUUUGGCCCAGCUGAUCUAAAGGCAACCCCACCUUUGGGACGUUCGUUUCUCGAAGGGACGUCUCCGAUAUAAUUUUCACACACCUGCAGAAGACCCAUCUAGUCCUCUCACACAUUAAGUCCUAGUCCUCCCGAGCUGAUCUUAAAACACGCGAUUUUGGACAGAGGGACCCGUGGGUUUCAAUGGAGCUUACUUUCAAGAAACUAAAGAAUGAAGAAAUGGAAGAAUAUUCUCAGUACAUUUUCAUAGAAAUUGAUGUUAACUCUGUGAUGUAAGUCAGGAGGGUGAGCAGAGUUUCAGCUCUGAAGGGGAUCUUGCAGAGGUUAAGUGCUUUGUCCUUGCCCCAACAAUUCCAGUGGGAAGAAGAUAAGCAAUGCCUGCGAUUAAUUCCCUUCCCUCCCUCUCUUUUUGAAAGGAUGAGCUUUAAAAGGGCUUAAUUUGUUUCCUAUCAUGCCCUUAAAUUCUCCCUGCAAAUCUAAUAAACAAACAGCUCUUGGGUUACACACUAAA